AUCCACUGACUGUCUUGUUAGAUUAAUCCAAAAAUUUUCAUUCACUCCGCAUACUCAAUCCUAUAGACACCUUUUUAAUCCUUCAAUCACAGAUGUAACUUUGAUUUUACAAAACAGUCAAGAGUAAUCACACCCACUUCAUUAAAAUCUCAAUUCACCAAUACAACACUGACUUCAGCAACGAUUGCCUCAGUCUUCCCAAAAUCCUAUGAAGAAAAAAAAAAACCCCAAUUCUCUGUCUUUUUUUC
rnacentral:lncRNA from 1 species